rnacentral:rRNA from 1 species
UACAGAGGUCUCAAGCGUUGUUCGGAUUCAUUGGGCGUAAAGGGUGCGUAGGUGGCGUCGUAAGUCGGGUGUGAAAUUUCGGAGCUUAACUCCGAAACUGCAUUCGAUACUGCGGUGCUUGAGGACUGGAGAGGAGACUGGAAUUUACGGUGUAGCAGUGAAAUGCGUAGAGAUCGUAAGGAAGACCAGUGGCGAAGGCGGGUCUCUGGACAGUUCCUGACGCUGAGGCACGAAGGUCAGGGGGAGCAAAACGGGG